UAUUGGCCGUUCCCGAUGCCCACGUCCGAGGGCCCCGUCCCUGUCGCGCCCUCGGUCAUUGACCAUAGGCCUGCCCUUGUAGCUCCACCAACGGGUUGAUCUGGCCCGAGGUGAGCCUCCGCCCUGCGUCAUGUCUUGUUCAGUCGAAGCUGAAUCUAGCCAGAACCAGCCUCCUAGUCCGUCUAGCAACAGAGAAAGAUGCUCAUCUAGGAGGUCUGGGGUUCAAAUCCUAGUCGCGCUUGUGUUUUGUUUUUCUUAUUUCCAUUAACCUGUUAAUCUUUGUUAUGCACUCAGAUGCGUCAUAUUAGCAUAGUUCCUCCGUAGCCCAACUAGUCGAGUGUUGCGUUGCAACCGGGAGGUCUUGGGAUCGAGUCCGAGGCAUCCCAUAAUUCCUAUGUCGUUAUCGAACGUUGUCACACGAUCAUGGGCCUGAUAUGCUGCUGGUUGGCACUAUGCCUCCAGAUUCGGCCCACUUAUUUUUUUCUGUGUCUCUGCGAAUUUCAACAAUAUCCACAACAUUGCAUAUUUGCAGCAUUUGCCACUGUUUUAGUAUGUGAAUAACUAAUUAACUGGGCAUAGGAUUAAAAUGUUUUGAACAUGUAAAAUGUCCAGAAUUUUGUGUAGGUUAAUAAUAUCCAACUUUUAUCCUUGUUU
rnacentral:lncRNA from 1 species